CAGAGCCUCAACAAGUAGGAGAGCACUCGCACCCUCCUUUUAAGUUCAGGCUGUUGAAAACAGAUACACAUCCAUUUUGGGGGAAUGCUUUGGAACUGCGCGUGGCAGAGGCUAUUACACAGAGGGCAGGCUUUUUCCGGGGGGGGGGGGGAGAGAAAGAGGUGAGCCACAGAAAUUGGUGUGGGUACUAGCAGGAGGCAGAAGCAGAUAGUGCGCUUGAAGCAAGCGACUUGAUUGACUUCGACAGUGGAAUUAUGGUUUGAGGGGUGGAUGGGAGAGAGAGAGAUAAAAUGUGUGGGAGGGUACCACCCCGUUUAGACCUAACAACAAGAAUUACUGUAUAUGGCAGUUUAAAGACAACUUUGUAAAAGUGUGCUUCCCCACAAGGAAUCCAUCCUCAGCAACUGUAGGCAAUCUUACUAUUUCAAGUAAAUUACAGUGAUUUUUCUCUCUGUGGCAGGCAUCCCCAAACUCGGCCCUCCAGAUGUUUUGGGACUACAACUCCCAUCAUCCCUAGCUAACAGGACCAGUGGUCAGGGAUGAUGGGAAUUGUAGUCCCAAAACAUCUGGAGGGCCGAGUUUGCCAUGCCUGCUCUACGGCAUCCCCAACAUUCAUUUUAAAAAAUUAAGAUGUAGAUGCUUUAAGAUAAGAGUUUAAAGUCUGACAACUUGCUCUUGUUUUAGGCCUGUGCAUGAUCAAAACUGUAACACGCAUCUAUACUGUAAUAAUGCAUUGAUUUUCACUGCAAACCUUUUGGCAGCAACAGAACACACCCAGUUCUGCUUCUGAGAGUGGGGAAGUUGUCAUUUGGACGGAACUCAAGUUGCAUUGAGGCCUCAGGGACCAAAGAAGCUGUUUGGGGUUGGCAGAGGGCUGAACACAGUGUAAAAACUGCAUGACAGCUGGACAUUUCAUCAAAUAUCAAUAAGGCAGGAUGAGAAACCAUCACCUGGAAGUCCUUUUAAAACAGGUCAUGGUAACAGCUCCCCCACUGAAGCCUAUGACAAAAUAACUUCCAGCAGUAGAGGCCACUAUAGGAGGGGGCAGGGGGAGAAGCUCAUUAUUUUCAGUCUCCUGCUUUCUGUUUGCUUCUGGUUGAACGGUUGUAGAAAACAUACCAGUACACAGCAUCUUAAUUACUUUGUAUAAGAUAUAGAGUAUUGCUUUUAAAAAAUAGGUGUGAACUGGAACCUUUUGCUAUAAUACACAAAAGUCUGCCACUGUUUUAAUGCUUUAUUUGAAAGACAGUUUGUCCCAUUUAAUAUCCAUUUGGGGCAAAAAGUAAAAAAUCCUUCAACACUCUUCCAGUCUUGCUUCUCACAGCUUGAGUUCGCUUGGCAUGCUUUCUCCUUUCAGUCCAGCCAGAAGAUUGUUGGCAGCCAACACUGACAUGGCAUUCCUUGUGGCGUAGGUGGCGCUUCCAAUAUGAGGCAAAAUUACUGCUCAAGACACGGGGGGGGGGGGAAGCAAUUUAGGAAACGAGCCAGUAUUUAUCGACUUGUAAUCACUAGUUCAUGAAUAUAUCGUUUUAUCAGAUACUAUAUCUUGAUUCAUGAAAUCACUUGCUCAAGCCAACCCAUUCCCUCUGUAUUCUAUUUCCAGGGCCCCAUCUCUGUUAGAUCAGUGUUUAAAUAUAUUAUCUGUCUUUUGCAGGGCAUGCCAAUCCAAUUACAGCCCCAAAGAUGCCUGCCUUGCGGAAAGGAGCAGGAGUGCAAAAUUCAGAGGAUGCCCUCUGCAUUUUAUUUCUUGCUUUACCCAUGCACAUACUUAGGGCAACAUCGUGGGAGAGAGUAUAGAAAUGCCACAGGAUGUAGCAGGCAUAGAUUUCUUUUAAGAACAACUCCCAAUUUAGAAAAGAACGACCCACAAGUUUCUAGCCCUUAUAGUUGCAAAGAUGUUCUUUUGACACAUUUCCACAAGGAAAAACCUCUGCUUGCUAUUGAGCCUUGCCGGCUCAGUGCAAGUGAGACUUAAGCAGCACCUGUCUGCUUCUGAAAGGCAGCCGUUAAUUCCCCAGGAGGAGACGGUGCAGAAAUAGCCAUGUACACAUUAAGUCUUUAGCGGAGAUUCCUGCAUUGCAGGGGGUUGGGCUAGAUGACCCUUUGGGUCCCUUCCAACUCUACGAUUCUAUGAAAUUAAGUCAGCUUACCACAGUUCUUGAGGCAAAGAAGCGGAUUAUCAGUAGGCAGAGGUUCUGGGGUUGUAACAUCCAAGCCCGCUGCUGCGAUGUGGCCAUUGACUAAAGCUUCGUAUAGGUCCUUUUGAUUGACAACAGUGCCCCUAACAGAGCAAAGGGAGAAAACGGGCGUGAAGGUGUUAUUGAGCCUACAUUGCAAGCUGCAGUAAAUAAUUCAACAAGACUCUCACUGGGGAAAUAUGGAUUGUGGCUUUUCUUGACAGCUUAAUACUACCACACUGUUUAUGCCUUGCCUGAAGCGGCAAGGGUGCUGCUUUGCUGGGCUGCAUCCCCCAUCACUCUGGUACUCUAGGAAAUUGUAUGGGGGGGGCAGCUUCCCCCAAUCAGUGCAAGCAGCAGUGACACAGAAAUAGUGCUAAGGAUUAAAUGACUCCCAGGGUCAUUUGCUUAUUAUUUGACUUAUUGCACUAACAGAAGACAGCGCAAUGAUUCGUGCUAGUGCAAUGAGACUUCACCCCUCCUCUCACUGCACCCAAGCUUCUUGGCGGGGGCGGGGCGGGGGGAGACUGUUAUGUCAGGCAAACAGAAAUGCUUGAACUGAUGGGACCUUCGCGCUAUGCAGAAUACAACCUGCUGAUAUUGUACAUGCUAAGUUUCCUAUUUUGGCUGGUGUUUGCUGCUUUAGAAAUGCAUAGGUAUGGAGCUAGGCAACCGGUUUUUAGAUAGACUGAGCAAUAUACAGCACUCACAGGAGCAAUGAAUGUCUUGUCUAAGGGAAGGACUGCAGAAUAUUAGUUUUGAGUGGUGCAGGCCUGGAUAGUGAUAGACCUCAAGAGAGAUCCAGCUAGUUAAGUGUUGUGAAUAUGGAAAGCUUAUUUCCACAAGUGCUGCUUCUUUACAAAACCAGGGCAAAUGUCUCAUAAAGGAAGCACAGCUGUGAGGGAAGAUGUGGCGUCUUGUACUGCCAUGUGUUCAUCGUACAGUGAAGAGAUUUGGACGCGGUGGAGGACCUUAAUUAAAACGGGGAGGGGGAAUGAUUUGUGCAUUUUAAAAAACUUGUGAUAGACAAGGGUAUGUUGCAAAUCUAGGCUCACGCUCCUCCAUACUGUCAUGUUACUUCAGUCAUGCUAUGCAGUAGCACUGGGACUUGGCAUUGUCUUGGGGGAUGUGCCCCCGAUUCCCAGCCUCCACUCUGGGCCACAUCUGGUUUUACCUGCUUGUGUUGAUGAACACAGACGUCUUCUUCAUCUUGCAAAAGAAGUCCCGAUUGCACAUCCCCUGAGUGUCUGGUGUCAGAGAACAUGUCACAAUGACAAAGUCCGACUCUUCCGCUAGCUUGGCAAGGGGCACUGGAGAAAAGAAAGAAAGAGGAAACUCACUGUGGUCUGUCUAAGAGGUUUACCUACUUUCACUAGCUUUUCCUAUUCACCAAAACAGCAAGGGUCCUUCUGAAUAGAGUCAGGAGAGCAGGGAUGAUUCAGGCAUGCUUGAGUCUGCACAAUUAUGCUGUUGGCACUCCUUGAAGCCUGUUGCGGCAUUCAUAUGAGCCAAGUCAACUGGGAGGAAUUGCCCUAUUUCUGUUUUCAGAGUGUACUGUUCUCCCCAACACCAUGAGGACGAUGAUGUACAGCAAUGUGUGCAUAUCCAAGUAUUCUGUUCUUUCAAAAGGAUCCUGUUUGACUCAUUGAACUACGUGGCACUCUGGGCUCUGAACUGCUCUGAACAAAAACCUAACAACCAUCCAGUUUGUGCUGUACUUUGCCUGAAGGGAUGGAUGACUGAUCUACUGAUCUUCCAAAACAUGCCUGUGUAAGGUGCAUGUGGCUGCCAUGUUUGUUCCAUAUUGACUCUUUACUUGCGGUGCAGCAGUCGGUACGUCUCAUUGUAAACAGCAUGUCUCCAGACGGGAAUUGCUGUUCUCUAAGCGAGACUAAGGUUAACUGGUGAUGGCUGGGUCCCUGCUUUGGCAAUGCUUGCAUGACCAAAUGACUUAGGAGGUGGGGUGCAUAGCCCUGAUUCACGAAGGGAUGUAUACUCCUCACUUUUAACUAUGGUCACCGGGAACAGGAACAAAUAAAUCUUAAGGUUUUGUCAAA